ACAAAAUACCCAAUCUGACGAUCGUCGUUCGCCACGGAAGGUGAGGAUGUGGCGUUUGUGCGGUCCAGACCGGAACUAGCGGUGCAAAAUCGCUAGCUGAUAAUGCCCAGCUGCAGCCCCCAAACGACCCGGCGUGUUCGAGUAGCCCGUAUGACCGCGUACAUGACGUGGUUUAACGAAGCCUCGCCAAUCCAUCCAGUUUGAAGGGUUAUCACGAUCUGUACACGUGCACGUAGCUGUGCCGCUGGUCCCGGAGGUUGCCGAUUAUCUUGCCUUGCAAUACUGUCAUCACACCGCAGCACAGCCGAGGUCGUUUGCCUUAACACAAAUCUAUUUGCAAAAAUCCUAACUUGAUUUUCCCGCCUUGGAACGCAUUUGCCCCUCGCCCCUGGUGUGAACCUACAAGAACGGUGGCCACAAUUUGACAACGAUCUAGCGUGUGUGAAUCAUCCUGAGUUCAGCGUUGCGCAUUGUGAGUUUUACAACUAAUGAAUGUUCAGCUCCAAUCCGGGCAGCAUCCGCCAUCUACAUUCCGAUCCUCGUCGCGAUCCUGAUCGCGUGACCUUUCUUGCGAUAACUUUUCAUCAAGAAAAGGUUAUUCUGCGUGGUGCCUCAAAAUAUCUUCAAAACCAUAACCAGAAUUACAUCGGAGAGUUAGAGAGCCGCAGACGAUCAUGGAUAUUUGUAAGAUUAGGCUCCCUACGGUCAUCAAUACGAUGGUGAAUAAAUGCACAACGCCGCAGACCUCAAUUCGUAGG